rnacentral:rRNA from 1 species
AGUCGACGAGAGGAAGAAAGCUUGCUUUUCUGAAUCUAGUGGCGAACGGGUGAGUAACACGUAGGUAACCUGCCCAUGUGCCCGGGAUAACUUCUGGAAACGGAUGCUAAAACCGGAUAGGUAGCAGACAAGCAUUUGACUGCUAUUAAAGUGGCUUUGGCCAUGAACAUGGAUGGACCUGCGGUGCAUUAGCUAGUUGGUGAGGUAACGGCCCACCAAGGCGACGAUGCAUAGCCGGCCUGAGAGGGCGGACGGCCACAUUGGGACUGAGACACGGCCCAAACUCCUACGGGAGGCAGCAGUAGGGAAUUUUCGUCAAUGGGGGGAACCCUGAACGAGCAAUGCCGCGUGAGUGAGGAAGGUCUUCGGAUCGUAAAGCUCUGUUGUAAGAGAAAAACGGCACUCAUAGGGAAUGAUGAGUGAGUGAUGGUAUCUUACCAGAAAGUCACGGCUAUCUACGUGCCAGCAGCCGCGGUAAUACGUAGGUGGCGAGCGUUAUCCGGAAUGAUUGGGCGUAAAGGGUGCGUAGGUGGCAGAUCAAGUCUGGAGUAAAAGGUAUGGGCUCAACCCGUACUGGCUCUGGAAACUGAUCAGCUAGAGAACAGAAGAGGACGGCGGAACUCCAUGUGUAGCGGUAAAAUGCGUAGAUAUAUGGAAGAACACCGGUGGCGAAGGCGGCCGUCUGGUCUGGAUUCUGACACUGAAGCACGAAAGCGUGGGGAGCAAAUAGGAUUA